rnacentral:tRNA from 1 species
GGGCCCGUAGCUCAGCUAGGCUAGAGCGACAGAAACCAAAGGUCGAAGCUCAUAGGUCCAACGGAGAGACCUGCUGGUCGAGGGUUCGAAUCCCUCCGGGCCCA